UACGUAGGGUGCAAGCGUUAAUCGGAAUUACUGGGCGUAAAGCGUGCGCAGGCGGGUAUGCAAGACAGAGGGGAAAUCCCCGGGCUCAACCUGGGAACUGCCUUUGUGACUGCAUAGCUAGAGUACGGUAGAGGGGGAUGGAAUUCCGCGUGUAGCAGUGAAAUGCGUAGAUAUGCGGAGGAACACCGAUGGCGAAGGCAAUCCCCUGGACCUGUACUGACGCUCAUGCACGAAAGCGUGGGGAGCAAACAGG
rnacentral:rRNA from 1 species